rnacentral:rRNA from 1 species
AAUGAACGCUGGCGGCGUGCCUCAGACAUGCAAGUCGAACGAGAAAGUACUCUUCGGAGUGCGAGUAAAGUGGCGCACGGGUGAGUAAGACUUAGGUAACGUACCCUUUCGCUGGGGAUAACUAAGGGAAACUUUAGCUAAUACCGAAUGAACCUAUCAUUAGCUGCGGCGAAGAUAGGUAAAGCCGUAAGGCGCGAAAGGAGCGGCCUGAGCUCGAUUAGCUUGUUGGUGGGGUAAAGGCCUACCAAGGCGACGAUCGAUAGCUGGUCUGAGAGGAUGAUCAGCCACACUGGAACUGGAACACGGUCCAGACUCCUACGGGAGGCAGCAGUUAGGAAUAUUGCACAAUGGGGGAAACCCUGAUGCAGCAACGCCGCGUGAGUGAGGAAGGCCUUCGGGUUGUAAAGCUCUUUCAGUAGGGAAGAAAAAAAUGACGGUACCUACAGAAGAAGCACCGGCUAACUCCG